CAUGACUGCCGACAUCAGACGCAGCGGAGGAACCAGCAGCCGCAGAGAGGAGAGUGGAAGGGGGGAUUCUGAGGAGAAAUAGUAGAGGGCUCAGCUCUCGGCUAUGACGCAGUUGUCUUCUCUCUACAACGCUACAAUGGCCCCGUCACCUGUCAGGCCAAACUCCCGGCCAUGCAUGUUAUCCACUAUUCCAGACCUUGCUGAACUGCCAAAGAUGAAAGCGCAAACGCAAUUCCGCAGACGGAACGUCAUGUCUCUGAGUGACGCUGAUCGUGUGUGUCUCAUCUGCCGUGAUGACCUGCACAGACGAGGGAGUGGUGUGAGGGAGCUGCACUGCUCUCACAGCUUCCACAGUGAGUGUAUAGAGGAGUGGCUGUGGAGGAAGCAGACCUGUCCUACUUGUUGUGUGCAGUUGCCUGUGCCAGAACCACUCUACUGGAGCUCCACUCGGGUGAAAGUACCCUGAGAUCCAUGUAGAACAGCCUAGAACAUCACAGAACUAUCAAGAACUACUACAGCUGCUACAACUGGACCCAACAUCCACAACUUUGAAUAGCUGGACUGAACAUCAAAGCACUCAACCUAGAAGGAGCUACAAAGAACCUGGAAUAGCAAACCAGAACUGCCUAGAAUUGGUGAAGAACUGCUAACAAAAUCUCUGCAAGAUUAAUUGAAUUAUGGGAGAAAUUGCGAUAUUAACAUGUGCAGUAUCAAAAUUGACUACUUCUGUGGUUUUCUUGAUUCUUUGGAACUCUGUAAACACAACAGAAACUAAACUAUGGUACUUCCUCCUAUGAAAUGUUCUAGAGUUCUGUCUAUUCCACUUGGCAUCAACAUGCUGACUUAAUCCCAAAUGUCAAUUUGGUGCCCAAGAAGGGUGCAUCUUCUGUGGUAUGGGAGAGGGGAUGGAAUUACCUGGUGGCAUGGUCAUCCAUGUCCUUAUGUCUGACCUGAAUGCCUCAUCAAAAAGUAUUUUCUUUUGGCCAAAGUUGCAGUUGUGCCCGUACCGACUGCCAUGUCAUCACACUGCCACAGGCCUUGUUGUGAUUCACAGCAAACAACAUGUCUGUUUUAACAGUUUUGUAAGAUUUUUGUAGGUUAGUUGAACACCUGGAAUCUCUUAAUUGUAUGCAACGAUGUGCAGAAGUGGAAGUCACAUACUGCACAACUUAGGCCACAUGGAAUGCGGACAAAUGUAUCGUUUUGGCUUAUUUCUAGAAGCCUUGCAAGAGAUAGGCUUUAUGUUUCUUGUCUACAUUGUUUUGUUCAAAUGCUUGCUCCAGUGUUAGUUUCAGACUGCAAUUAAGACGUCUGUUUCAAGCUAAUGAAUGGCAAUGGCAAAAGUAUGGCUAUUAAAAGAGUUUCAGAUAUAAGAGCAGUGACGGGAUUUAUAUUUCAUACAGGAGACAAUAUUGCUCAAGGGUUGGGAAAUGUUGCUUAACUACGGGUAACUGCGCAAAUGUCAUCAAAAUGAAAUGACUAUAUACACUCACCUAAAGGAUUAUUAGGAACACCAUACUAAUACUGUGUU